rnacentral:rRNA from 1 species
GACGAACGCUGGCGGCGUGCUUAACACAUGCAAGUCGAACGGAAAGGCCCUGCUUGCCGGGUACUCGAGUGGCGAACGGGUGAGUAACACGUGGGUGAUCUGCCCUGCACUUCGGGAUAAGCCUGGGAAACUGGGUCUAAUACCGGAUAGGAGCCAUUUUUAGUGUGAUGGUUGGAAAGUUUUUUCGGUGUAUGAUGAGCUCGCGGCCUAUCAGCUUGUUGGUGGGGUAAUGGCCUACCAAGGCGGCGGCGGGUAGCCGGCCUGAGAGGGUGGACGGCCACAUUGGGACUGAGAUGCGGCCCAGACUCCUACGGGAGGCAGAAGUGGGGAAUAUUGCACAAUGGGCGCAAGCCGGAUGCAGAGAGGCCGCGUGGGGGAUGACGGCCUUCGGGUUGUAAACUCAUUUCGCUAGGGACGAAGCUUUUUGUGACGGUACCUAGAUAAGAAGCACCGGCUAACUACGUG